UGUCAUGGUGACUGUCAGCUGUGCGGCAGUCCCAGCCAAUCACGGUGGGAGACUAUCUAUAAAGGCGGGCGUAGAGCACAUGUCGGCAUCUUGCUUGCCGUAGGCUGGGUCACGUUGCGCCUGGGCGUCCAUUUCCGCUUCCGUGCGGUGACAGGGCUCACUUGGAUGUUGCUGCUGGCUGCGCGCUGCUCAUCGAUACAUGGCCGAUGCCGCCUACUGAACUGUCGCUUUGGUAUAGCGUCCCGUUCCCUGCUCCACGCCACGUUGGCCGGGACUGCCCGAUUGGGUGGCCGACAGUAGCGGCGCAGCGGCGGCCAAUCCACCUAUAAAAACCACUGCUGCUUUGCUUCCACGUUAUUACCGCCUUGCCAGGGCCAGCUCGGACUCGAUCGCUUUGCCGUUCAUUCGGCUAGCGGUGGUUUGUUCAUUUUCCUGUUGUGUCGCUAUCUCUUUUGUUUAGUUGGUGCAACUACAUUUUAAAGUGUGUAUGUUAUGUUAUAUAAGAGUUUUUGCUGAUUUCUCCUUGUGUUUACUUAUUAUAGAUUUUAUUUAAUUAAUUUCUCUUAUUAUUAUUUUGUUUCCAUUAUGUUUUCUAACUGGUUGCUCUGCGAUCCCCCUCAAUUCAGGUGCUGAGCCUACGGUGUUGGACUGGUGUUCUGGUCACGGUGUCCCUUUUUGUAUUGUGUUUGCAGUUGGUUUAUUUUUCAUUUGUUUUACGCGUGGUGUUCCUGGGACCCCCUUUCCUUUGGAUGCAGGUGUUCACAGUAGGUCUCAGCACUGAUUGGAUCUCAGCACCCAAUUUCCCUCCUUAGUGAGUAAUUAUUUAGUAGUCUUAAGAACAGACAUUUUGUAUAAAUAAAAGUAUUUUUGUAUGAUCGAACUGCCGUCUCUGCCUCAUUGCAUAACGGACCUCAGUGCCUUUCCUUCAUUUGUGCUAGUCCACUUAAAAUAAAUCUCUGGGUGAAAUUCCCAGGGUGGCGUUGUCUGGCAAUAAUUAAUGCUACCGAUACUGCCUUUAAGAAAAGGGGCAUCACUCCAUAGCUCGUGCUGCCACACUAACAUUACUUGCAUUUAAUCUGAACGCCACAGGCAUCUAUGCAUAAAUAAACAAAUAAAUACUUUGUUCACGAGUAGAACUUUUAGCUGCAAGUUAAAGUAGUUGGCUAGAUAGCCAUGAACUUGCUAGUGUGGCAGGUUGAGUGUUGCUCCUCCUCCACUCAGGUGAUUUCUGGUGGGCAGAUUGCAGAGUGGUUUCACCUGUAUAAGUGCUGCGCCUUCUCUGGCGCUCACACUGCUGCCUGGCACUCGUGGCGAGGACUCGGUGUGGCGUCUGUUAGUGUUGGUUUGUUGUCGGUUGGUGUGGCGUGCUUCAGUCACUUGAAGGUGAGUAGGCAUGACGCUACUUUCGUGCAACUUUAUGAUGACAAGCAGGUGCCCAGUGAUCGCGAGUGUUUUUGUAACUUUCCAGCGUUGUGGCCGUGUUGUUCGGGGGCGGCAUUGUGAAGAGUGAGGGGAGUGUGGCAUCCGCUCUGUACUGUUGCCGCAGCCGGUGAUCAGUUUCGGGGGCGUAAAGCUCUCUUCGUUCGGCUGUUGGAGCCGCAGCGGUGCUUUUGCUUUUCUUCCUCCUCCUGUGCUCUGGUGAAGCUGCCCUGCACGGCUCUGUGACGUAGCCUACACCUGGCGAUCCCCAAACGUAAACCAUCCACGGCCUCCGGUCCUGGGGCGGCCACUCUGUCUUCGCCAGCCGCUUCGUCUUCUCCAUCCACUCCGUCGUCUUCAUCAUCUUCGGCUGCUCCGGCACCGUUGCCUUUUUCCACACAGUCCGAUGUGGCGGUUGCAUUCCCACGCAGCGCUAAGUUUUCAGUCCCACCACAAUUCUUAUCGGUUUGGUUAAUUGUCUGCUUUUCCUUUCAUCUUUUUGUGUUUGUGUUCUUUAGUUUAUUUGUUUGGGUUAAAUCCUAUGCAUACAUAUAUUUUUGUGUUGCGUUUUGUUGACCCAUUUGGGGUUAAGCAUAUCAAUAUUUUCUUAUUAUUUCUGAUCUAUUGCUUUGGGGUUCAACGGAUUAUUUUCUGUUUAGUUUAACAUAGCUGUUGGGUUUGUGUAUGUGUGUGUUUUAUUAUAGUCCUCUGUUUUAAAUGAUUGUCGUAACAACCUGAGUGUUUCGCCACAACAGUAGUGUAAUUCUGUGUUUCUUUCUUGUGUUUCCAGGACAGGAGCUGGUGUAGCGGGCGGCAGGCUUUGAUUUGGUUUGUAGUGGUUCUUUUGUGGUUUUGAGUUUAUUUAGUCUGACCGCCUCGCUACCGCCUAGCUCUGUGCCUGUUGUAUUUAUUUCUACUUUGGCUUGACACUUCAUUGGUUGUUGAGGUCCCUGAGCUCUUUUAAUUCUGCUUACCGUAGAUAAAUAAAAUUACAUCUUUUGUAAGUCCGUCUCUCGUCCUUCAUACCAAACGUGCAACGAAUCUGUGUGACCUCUGGUUGGCCAAAGUACAGGGCCAAGGUUGUAUUUCCUGGGGUGCAAU